rnacentral:rRNA from 1 species
CACGUAGGGUGCGAGCGUUGUCCGGAAUUAUUGGGCGUAAAGAGCUCGUAGGCGGUGUGUCGCGUCGGCCGUGAAAACCUGCAGCUUAACUGUGGGCUUGCGGUCGAUACGGGCAUCACUGGAGUUCGGCAGGGGAGACUGGAAUUCCUGGUGUAGCGGUGAAAUGCGCAGAUAUCUGGAGGAACACCGGUGGCGAAGGCGGCAUCCUGGACCAAUUCUGACGCUGAGGAGCGAAAGCCAGGGGGAGCAAACGGG